rnacentral:rRNA from 1 species
AGCAGCCGCGGUAAUUCCAGCUCCAAUAGCGUAUAUUAAAGUUGUUGCAGUUAAAAAAGCUCGUAGUUGAAUUUCGAGAUCAAAUUGUUGGUCGUGCCUUGGUACGCACUGGCAUUAUUGGUUUCUCCCUUCUGACGAACCAUGAUGUCAUUAAUUUGGUGUCUUGGGGAAUCAGGACUGUUACUUUGAAAAAAUUAGAGUGUUUAAAGCAGGCUCACGCUUGAAUACAUUAGCAUGGAAUAAUGAAAUAGGACGUUUGAUUCUAUUUUGUUGGUUUCUAGGAUCGACGUAAUGAUUAAUAGGGAUAGUUGGGGGCAUUAGUAUUCAAUUGUCAGAGGUGAAAUUCUUGGAUUUAUUGAAGACUAACUACUGCGAAAGCAUUUGCCAAGGAUGUUUUCAUUAAUCAAGAACGAAAGUUAGGGGAUCGAAGACGAUCAGAUACCGUCGUAGUCUUAACCAUAAACUAUGCCGACUAGGGAUCGGAUGAUGUAAUUUUUAAUGA